ACGUAGGGGGCGAGCGUUGUCCGGAGUUACUGGGCGUAAAGCGCACGCAGGCGGUCUGCUAAGUUUGGGGUGACAGUUGUCGGCUUAACCGAGAAAGUGCCUCAAAGACUGACAGACUUGAGGGCCACAGAGGGACAUGGAACUCCAGGUGUAGUGGUGAAAUGCGUAGGUACCUGGAAGAAUACCGAAGGCGAAGGCAGUGUCCUGGGUGGUACCUGACGCUCAGGUGCGAAAGCCAGGGGAGCGAACGGGAUUAGAUACCCCGGUAGUCCUGGCCGUAAACGAUGACCACUAGAUGUGCGGGGUAUCGACCCCCUGCGUGUCGAAGUUAACGCGAUAAGUGGUCCGCCUGGGGAGUACGGUCGCAAGAUUA
rnacentral:rRNA from 1 species